UCGUCUACAUUUAUAUAUUCAUAUCCUACUUCUGCAUAACCCUCUGCUACGACAAUAUCAGUCAUUGUUCUGAAGAGCCGAUCGCUACAUGAAAAAAAAGAUGAGUUUGUUACGUCAUAUUGAUACAAAAGAAGUAUUCAGUAUUUCAAAUCUUUUAAUAAAGAAUAUUAUUCUUCACAAUCUCUGAGUUGAUGUGCAAUAAACAGAAAAAAUGAAAUUGGGAGCUAAAUUUAUUGCAUCAGGUUGGCUAUUCAAAUAAAAAAAUCCCUGGUUCAGUCAUCACAGGUCCUAUUGGAUAGGUGCCGCCGAGAGCGGUAGCGACUCUCAUCUCGGAAGGACCGCAGUGCGCAAAUACUCAGUUAAGUAUAUUGCGCAAUAUUAUGCAUUCUAGUUGGCUACUGUUCAGACGACACUGACUGUUUAUGUUUCGAUCCCGCCAAAUUCAGUCCAAAGCUAUUUAAAGGCAACUCCCGAAACUGGACUGAAAUCUGGAAUAUAAAGAUUUAGUGUCAUGGUAUCGAACUGCGGCAGAAGAUUUUGCGUUGAAAGUUCUAUAGAAAGAAGAAUGUUAUAUGGUUCU